GCCUCAAGUUAUGUGUGACAACCCCCUGAAUUUAAGCAUAUUAAUAAGGGGAGGAAAAGAAACCAACCGGGAUUCCCUGAGUAGCUGCGGGCGAAACGGGAGAAGCUCAGCACGUAGGGAUGGCGGCCCGCCCGUCUAUCCGAUUCCGUGUACUGGUAUGUCUCACUAUCCGUCUUCCUAGUGGUAUUCAAGUCCAACUUGAACGUGGCUUUGAACCCAUAGAGGGUGAUAGGCCCGUAGAACACCACCCAGCGGUUGAUGGACCGAGCGUACCAUGGAGUCGUGUUGCUUGAUAGUGCAGCACAAAGUGGGAGGUAAACUCCUUCUAAAGCUAAAUACGACCAUGAGACCGAUAGUAAACAAGUACCGUGUGGGAAAGUUGAAAAGCACUCUGAAUAGAGAGUCAAAUAGUACGUGAAACUGCCGAGGGUGUAAAGCCUGUUGAACUCGAUUAUCCGUAGUUCCUGGCAUCGUGGGUUUUGGCUGUCACGCAGAAGGGGGCCUUCUGUAUGCCUUGACCCUAGCCAGGAACGAGUGCGGACAUCGUGAUCCAUUACGCAAACCAAAUGCGAGCGGCGACUCCGGUUGCUGCGAGCAUAUCCAACAUCAGGUCCCAGAACAUGCGGUCGACCCUCUAGUAGUGGCGCUCAGCUUAAGGCCGGCGUCGCGAACGGGGGAUCGAGGCUCCGGUCUCGAGUUCGGCUAGUUCCGGUGUGCCGUUGGAUGCGUGAUGGGCAUUGAAGUGAACUAGAGAAGUGUGAAGCGCAUGUUUGGGCAUGUUCAAGGGCGAAAGCCUGAGCCGAGCACGACUCCGGAUCUACGAUGUACUAACUAAUCGAGGUGCCUACGGGACCCGUCUUGAAACACGGACCAAGAAGUCUAUCUUGCGCGCAAGUCAAUGGGAGUAGCAAACCCAAAGGCGAAGAUAACACAACUGCAAAGUCGUUGCGGGAUUACGGGUGCACCACAGUCCGCGAGGACUGGCUAGCUGUGCCGCCCCUCCAUCCCCGGGUGUUUAGCAACGGAUCUGUAGUGCCGCGGACCCCCCGACAGGGGUGGGCAUUUGCAGAGCCAACGCGACAUACCGCGAGCGCGCAGGAUGUGACCCGAAAGAU
rnacentral:rRNA from 1 species